UGGGGAAUAUUGGACAAUGGGCGCAAGCCUGAUCCAGCCAUGCCGCGUGAGUGAUGAAGGCCCUAGGGUUGUAAAGCUCUUUCACCGGUGAAGAUAAUGACGGUAACCGGAGAAGAAGCCCCGGCUAACUUCGUGCCAGCAGCCGCGGUAAUACGAAGGGGGCUAGCGUUGUUCGGAAUUACUGGGCGUAAAGCGCACGUAGGCGGAUAUUUAAGUCAGGGGUGAAAUCCCGGGGCUCAACCCCGGAACUGCCUUUGAUACUGGGUAUCUCGAGUAUGGAAGAGGUGAGUGGAAUUCCGAGUGUAGAGGUGAAAUUCGUAGAUAUUCGGAGGAACACCAGUGGCGAAGGCGGCUCACUGGUCCAUUACUGACGCUGAGGUGCGAAAGCGUGGGGAGCAAACA
rnacentral:rRNA from 1 species